CCCUUAGUAACUGCGAGUGAAGAGGGAAAAGCUCAAAUUUAAAAUCUGGCAGUCUUUUGAUUGUCCGAGUUGUAAUUUAGAGAAGUGCUACCCGUGUUGGCCCGUGUAUAAGUUUCCUGGAAUGGAACGUCAUAGAGGGUGAGAAUCCCGUCUUUGACACGGACUACCAAUGCUUUUGUGGUGUGCUCUCAAAGAGUCGAGUUGUUUGGGAAUGCAGCUCUAAAUGGGUGGUAAAUUCCAUCUAAAGCUAAAUAUUGGGGAGAGACCGAUAGCGAACAAGUACCGUGAGGGAAAGAUGAAAAGAACUUUGGAAAGAGAGUUAAACAGUACGUGAAAUUGCUGAAAGGGAAACGCUUGAAGUCAGUCGCGUUAGUUGGGGAUCAGCCUGCCUUUUUGGUUGGUGUACUUCCUAAUUAAUGGGUCAGCAUCAGUUUUGACCGGUGGAUAAGAACUUGAGGAAUGUGGCAUCUCCGGGUGUGUUUAUAGCCUCAUGUUGUAUACAUCGGUUGGGACUGAGGAACUCAGCACGCCGCAAGGCCGGGUUGUUUACAACCACGUACCGUGCUUAGGAUGCUGGCAUAAUGGCUUUAAUCGACCCGUCUUGAAACACGGACCAAGGAGUCUAACAUGCCUGCGAGUGUUUGGGUGGAAAAACCCGAGCGCGUAAUGAAAGUGAAAGUUAGGAUCUCUGUUGUUGGAGAGCACUGACGCCCGGCCCAGACCUUUUGUGACGGUGCCGCGGUUGAGCAUGUAUGUUGGGACCCGAAAGAUGGUGAACUAUGCCUGAAUAGGGUGAAGCCAGAGGAAACUCUGGUGGAGGCUCGUAGCGAUUCUGACGUGCAAAUCGAUCGUCAAAUUUGGGUAUAGGGGCGAAAGACUAAUCGAACCAUCUAGUAGCUGGUUCCUGCCGAAGUUUCCCUCAGGAUAGCAGAAACUCAUUGUUAGAUUUAUGUGGUAAAGCGAAUGAUUAGAGGCCUUGGGGUUGUAACAACCUUAACCUAUUCUCAAACUUUAAAUAUGUAAGAUCGGGCUGUCUCUUAAU
rnacentral:rRNA from 1 species